GCGGGUAUAGUUUAGUGGUAGAACAUCAGCCUUCCAAGCUGAUGAUGCGGGUUCGAUUCCCGCUACCCGCUCCA
rnacentral:tRNA from 1 species